rnacentral:rRNA from 1 species
UGCCUGUACCAUAACCGACACAGGUGGGUAAGUAGAGUAUACUAAGGGGCGCGAGAUAACUCUCUCUAAGGAACUCGGCAAAAUAACUCCGUAACUUCGGGAGAAGGAGUGCCUUAUUCUUAAGGUUGCAAUAACAAGAUCCAAGCAACUGUUUAUCAAAAACACAGGUCUCCGCUAAGUCGUAAGACGAUGUAUGGGGGCUGACGCCUGCCCAGUGCCAGAAGGUUAAAGAAGUCGGUUAGCAAUAGCAAAGCUGGUAACUGAAGCCCUGGUGAACGGCGGCCGUAACGAUAACGGUCCUAAGGUAGCGAAAUUCCUUGUCGGGUAAGUUCCGACCCGCACGAAAGGCGUAAUGAUUUGGAUGCUGUCUCGGAGAGGGGCUCGGUGAAAUAGACUUGUCUGUGAAGAUGCGGACUACCUGCACCAGGACAGAAAGACCCUAUGAAGCUUUACUGUAACUUGAAAUUGAAAUUGGACUUUAUUCGCGCAGUAUAGGUGGGAGGCGUUGAUUAUAAUCUUGUGGGAUUAUUGGAGCCAUCAGUGAGAUACCACUCUUGUAAUGUUAGAUUUCUAACUUUGAAUCAUUAUCUGGUCAAAGGACAGUUUCAGGCGGGCAGUUUGACUGGGGCGGUCGCCUCCUAAACGGUAACGGAGGCGUACAAAGGUUUCCUCUGAACGGUUAGAAAUCGUAUCUAGAGUGUAAAGGCAUAAGGAAGCUUGACUGUGAGACCUACAAGUCGAGCAGGGACGAAAGUCGGUCUUAGUGAUCUGACGGUACUGAGUGGAAAGGCCGUCACUCAACGGAUAAAAGUUACUCUAGGAUAACAGGCUGAUCUCCCCCAAGAGUUCACAUCGACGGGGAGGUUUGGCACCUCGAUGUCGGCUCAUCGCAUCCUGGGGCGGUAGUACGUCCCAAGGGUUGGGCUGUUCGCCCAUGAAAGCGGUACGCGAGCUGGGUUCAGAACGUCGUGAGACAGUUCGGUCCAUAUCCGGUGUAGGCGCUAGAAUAUUGAGAGGAGCCUUCUUUAGUACGAGAGGACCGAGAAGGACAUACCUCUGGUGUACCAGUUAUCGUGCCAACGGUAAACGCUGGGUAGCUAUGUAUGGAGUGGAUAACCGCUGAAAGCAUCUAAGUGGGAAGCCCACCUCAAGAUAAGUAUUCUCAUCACGUAUGUGAGUAAGGUCACGGUAAGACUAACCGUUUGAUAGGCAUUAAGUG